GUGCUUGCAUGGGCAGCACAUAUACCAAAAUUGAGACCCUACAGAGAAGAUUAGCAUGGCCCCUGCCCAAGGAUGGCACCCCAAUUUGUGAUGCAUCUCAUAUUUUG
rnacentral:snRNA from 1 species